rnacentral:rRNA from 1 species
UGGGGAAUAUUGGACAAUGGGCGCAAGCCUGAUCCAGCCAUGCCGCGUGGAUGAUGAAGGCCCUAGGGUUGUAAAGUCCUUUCGGCGGGGAAGAUAAUGACGGUACCCGCAGAAGAAGCCCCGGCUAACUUCGUGCCAGCAGCCGCGGUAAUACGAAGGGGGCUAGCGUUGCUCGGAAUCACUGGGCGUAAAGCGCACGUAGGCGGCUUUUUAAGUCAGGGGUGAAAUCCUGGAGCUCAACUCCAGAACUGCCCUUGAUACUGAGAAGCUUGAGUCCGGGAGAGGUGAGUGGAACUGCGAGUGUAGAGGUGAAAUUCGUAGAUAUUCGCAAGAACACCAGUGGCGAAGGCGGCUCACUGGCCCGGUACUGACGCUGAGGUGCGAAAGCGUGGGGAGCAAACAGG